rnacentral:lncRNA from 1 species
UUUUUUUUUUUCAAAAACGUACAGGCUCACUGCCCUUUUCAGAGACAGGGAGUGCUUGAAUGACAUUUCAAGGCACAAAGCUGGAGGGUCUGGAUUACCAUCCACCUUAAGUGAGUGUACUGGGGAAUAGUUUACUCUUUGGAUAAGAUUUCCCUCCAUUAUUCUGGCAUUUACCAAUCCAAUGAUUUGAUCAAAAUCCAGUGGCUUCCUACAGUAUAAAAGUCAGUCUACUGUCAUCUAGCUAGGAAUGCUAAGAUUGGGGGUGGAGGCAUUUCCAAGUUACAGACUGAGAAGGUCUGCCAUUUCUUCUUCAACAGAAUCCUCACUUCUCAGACUUAGUUUCCAAAUCACAGGCUUCAUUAAGAGAAGAGAUAACAUCCUGAGUGCAAGUUGGGCUUCUUCAACUUCACACCAGCAGCUAGUGAGGAGAACUUUGAACAAUUAUUGAGUUGCUUUCUUGGGUCUCUAUAAUCAAUAACCUUUCUGCAGAUAUCUAUCUAUAUAAAGAUAUUAUAUAUAAAUAAAAAUUUACAUAUAUAUGCACAUGUAUAUAUAGCUGUACAUAUAUGUGUGUAUAUAUAUACUUAAAUGUAAUAUUUACAAAACUGUGAUCUCGUCUAGAGAAAAUGUAUUCAUAUUACAAACUGCUCUUCCAUAUUUAUGUAUCAUAUUUACCUUUUUAUUACUGUCGUAAUUAUUGAGGGUAUUUCUAAUUAUUAUGAUGUUAGGAUCUGUUUAGCAUCUUCUGGAAGCAACCAAAAAAUAUGACUUUUCAUUGAAGUGCUUAGAAUCUGUUCUCAUGAGAAUUCCACUGGUCUACUGUAAAACAAAGAAAGAAAUAAAAAGAAACAAAAAAUGAAAGAAAGGAAGAAAGAGAGAGAAAAGAAAGAUUAAAGCAAAGUAAACAGCAAAAACUAAAUACAACCCCAACCUUCUUCCUGCACCUCGCGCGCAGAAAUGUGCUGCUCUUGUUUUGGGAUUUAUUUUUCCUGUUUAUGUGUUUUUAUGGAUCUAAGUUAAGUCUUUCAGCAAUAUAUAAAAAUGUAAAUAGUUAACUUUAUUUAUUAAGAAUGUCAUCUUUUUUAAUUUAUAUUUACACGAUGAUCUGACACACACACACACACACACACACACACACACACAACUAAUAUCAAAGACAAAUAUUUUGCCACUGUUGAUUACUAUACCUUAAAGUUCUAUAUUAUGAAAAUAUAUAAUAGCUUGUCUGAUUCAGCAUGUUGUUGUGUGGCUUUUGACUGCUAUAGAGAUACAUAGAAUGGUCAUGUGUGUGCACACAAACACGCUCAAACACACAGGAACACACACCCAUGCAAUAACAUGUGAGCUUAUAAUUUAAAAAAUCAUUAAAAAAGCAUGAAAUUGAAUUCAAUAUAUAUAUCAAGUCCUCUAUAUAAUUCCUGAAAAGUAUCUAUAUUUUGUACAUGCAAAACCUGGCAAACAUUAUUAUACAUUGUAAUAUAUUUCCAUUCUAUGGCACUAAAGCAUAUACUCUGUGUCCUUAUAUACUACUAUUUGGACUCUGUCUUCAACAAUAUACUCUGAGAAUAAUUUUUAUUUUCAUAACAAACAAUAAACAAACAACAAAAAAGGAACACACCCUGUGUUCUUGGUGUAACCCUGUCCUUGUAAUCCUGAGCUCACUACCCAGGUUGAUACUGCACAAACCCUGCAGAAAUCUGGUCCUUCAACAUUACAUCACGGAUCAGGGACUGAGCGGCUGGUUAUGAUGCCUCUCUCCCUAAAGAGCUAUUGACAGGUCAUUGUUGCAGGGGGAGAGAGGUAUCAUUUUCUCCAGUGUCAUAAGAAUUGGCAAGGGGCCCAUGCUUCAAUAAAUAACCCUCUCUCUAAGCUC